UUGAACAUUAGUUUUGAUUAUUUGUUUUUAGUAGAACACGAUUUUCCGAGUAGCUCUUGAGACCUAGUAUUUUGAUAGUAAUUAAAACCAGCAAUUUAUGAGCCAUUAAAAUAUAAAUUGAAAUCAACCUAUCAUAGACAAACAUUGUAACCAAAUAUUAGCAGAGUACUGCAGUGAUCAUUGAAAAUUUAUGUUAUACAUACACCUGUAAUAAAUAAAUUAACAGAAAAUCUUGAAAGUGAAAA
rnacentral:lncRNA from 1 species